UACGGGGGGGGUAAGCGUUGUUCGGAAUUACUGGGCGUAAAGGGCUCGUAGGCGGCCAACUAAGUCAUACGUGAAAUCCCUCAGCUUAACUGGGGAACUGCGUGUGAUACUGGAUGGCUUGGAUUUGGGAGAGGGAUGCGGAAUUCCAGGUGUAGCGGUGAAAUGCGCAGAUAUCAGGAGGAACACCGAUGGCGAAGGCAGGUCUCUGGGCCACUACUGACGCUGAGAAGCGAAAGCAUGGGGAGCGAACAGG
rnacentral:rRNA from 1 species